CACGUGGACCUUCUUUUUUCUUCUAAAUCUCAACCAUAUUAUCUAUCUGGCUGUGCAAGGAAGAUCAAUAAGGAGGAGCUCUAACAAUUUCCAUUGGUUUUCUGCAAUCCAAACCGAGAUGAUCCAGGCUUAAACAAGACGUAGGGAGUCUGGGGGUAGAGAAAGGCUGAUUCUUUGCUGUAUCUUACAGGAGGUCUACACUUAUGAAUUCCAGCUUUUCAGGUGGAUAAUUUGACAUGAAGGUGCGUGUACACAGAUCUGACAAGAAACUACACAAAGGGAAAUGUUAAAAGUUGA
rnacentral:lncRNA from 1 species